rnacentral:rRNA from 1 species
AGUCGAGCGAGCUUGCCUAGAUGAUUUAGUGCUUGCACUAAAUGAAACUAGAUACAAGCGAGCGGCGGACGGGUGAGUAACACGUGGGUAACCUGCCCAAGAGACUGGGAUAACACCUGGAAACAGAUGCUAAUACCGGAUAACAACACUAGACGCAUGUCUAGAGUUUGAAAGAUGGUUCUGCUAUCACUCUUGGAUGGACCUGCGGUGCAUUAGCUAGUUGGUAAGGUAACGGCUUACCAAGGCAAUGAUGCAUAGCCGAGUUGAGAGACUGAUCGGCCACAUUGGGACUGAGACACGGCCCAAACUCCUACGGGAGGCAGCAGUAGGGAAUCUUCCACAAUGGACGAAAGUCUGAUGGAGCAACGCCGCGUGAGUGAAGAAGGGUUUCGGCUCGUAAAGCUCUGUUGGUAGUGAAGAAAGAUAGAGGUAGUAACUGGCCUUUAUUUGACGGUAAUUACUUAGAAAGUCACGGCUAACUACGUGCCAGCAGCCGCGGUAAUACGUAGGUGGCAAGCGUUGUCCGGAUUUAUUGGGCGUAAAGCGAGUGCAGGCGGUUCAAUAAGUCUGAUGUGAAAGCCUUCGGCUCAACCGGAGAAUUGCAUCAGAAACUGUUGAACUUGAGUGCAGAAGAGGAGAGUGGAACUCCAUGUGUAGCGGUGGAAUGCGUAGAUAUAUGGAAGAACACCAGUGGCGAAGGCGGCUCUCUGGUCUGCAACUGACGCUGAGGCUCGAAAGCAUGGGUAGCGAACAGGAUUAGAUACCCCGGUAGUCCAUGCCGUAAACG